GUCAUGGUUUUGUGAUUUUUGGUUUUUGAUAUUCCACAUCCUAACAUCAUGUGGAGCACUGGGAGUUUCACUGUUAAUGCUCAAGUCCUGGGUACCUGCCCAGAAGAGAAGGAGAGCUACAUUCCCCAGGGGACUUUGCAGUCAGGGAGAGGAGAUUUAACUCCUGGCAAGGUCACCUGAUGUGCUCUUUUUCAUCUGCUCUUCAUCAUGGGCGCUUCUCCCGUCUCUCUGCUGCUCAACUGCACUGCGCAUCUCACCUCAGCGUUGUGUUUAUAUCAAAGUAUUGGUACCUCAAUAUGAACUCUCCUUCUCACAUGAUGUCUCUUCAACAUCUUCAUCAGUGACAUCAAUGAUGGCUGUGAGUGCACCCUCAACAAGUUUGCUGAUUGACACCAAACUGAAUGGCAUGAUUGGCAUGUUACAAGGAAUGGAUGCAAUCCAGAGGGACUUCAGCUAACUUGAAAGAGUAUAGCUACUAUCUCAAAAAGGGAGAUUUUGGGUUGCAAAUGAUUCUUGUUCACAGUGACGUGGAAAUGAGACUGCUACCAUCUGUUAACUGAGGUAUUCUCCUAGUGUCUGUCUAAUACAUUUUGACGGAGCACUGGAAUAGGCUGCCCAGGAGGUUGUGGAUUUUCCUUCUUUGAAGAUACUGAAGACUCACCUGGACACCUACCUGUGCAGACUGCUGUUGGGGGACCUGCUUUGCAGGGGCAUUGUACUCGAUGACCUUCUAGCCCCCAUAGUUCUAUGAUUCUGUGAUUCGGUACUAAUAUAACCCCAGUGAACUGUAGAAUACAGCAAUUCUGGCAAAAAUAUUAAACUAACAAAAUCAAAUAUGGCAAUUUUAAGUCGCUCUCUUACCUAAUGCUGGAGAUGUUUUUAUGAGACCAGGUAAUAAUAUUAUUCCACAC